UACGUAGGGGGCAAGCGUUGUCCGGAAUCAUUGGGCGUAAAGCGCGUGUAGGCGGCCCGAUAAGUCCGCUGUGAAAGUCCAGGGCUCAACCCUGGAAUGCCGGUGGAUACUGUCGGGCUCGAGUCCGGAAGAGGCGAGUGGAAUUCCUGGUGUAGCGGUGAAAUGCGCAGAUAUCAGGAGGAACACCAAUGGCGAAGGCAGCUCGCUGGGACGUUACUGACGCUGAGACGCGAAAGCGUGGGGAGCAAACAGG
rnacentral:rRNA from 1 species